rnacentral:rRNA from 1 species
AUGGAUCAGGAGGUGAUUGAGCACCUUGAGGCCAAAGUGAGGGCUGACAGCGCGAGAUCUCACCCUCUCAUCGAUUUUUUCAUACCAACCAUCGACAGCGAGCACGACAUAUGA